CAAUAGCGUAUAUUUAAGUUGUUGCAGUUAAAAAGCUCGUAGUUGGAUUUCGGGUGUGAACGACCGGCCCGUCUUUGAUGUGUACUGGUUGGUUGCGCCUUAUUGUCGAGGACGUGGUUCUAGCUUUCAUUAGCCGGGACACGGAGUCGGCAGCGUUACUUUGAGAAAAUUAGAGUGUUCAAAGCAGGCUAUCGCUCUGAAUACUACAGCAUGGAAUAACACGAUAGGACUCCGAGCCUAUUCUGUUGGUCUUCGGGACCGGAGUAAUGAUUAAGAGGGACAGUUGGGGGCAUUCGUAUUCCGAUGUCAGAGGUGAAAUUCUUGGAUUAUCGGAAGACGAACAUCUGCGAAAGCAUUUGCCAAGGAUGUUUUCAUUAA
rnacentral:rRNA from 1 species